rnacentral:rRNA from 1 species
GUCUAUGGCCACGCUACCCUGAACAAGCCCGAUCUCGUCUGAUCUCAGAAGCUAAGCAGGGUCGGUCCUGGUUAGUACUUGGAUGGGAGGCUACCUAGGAAGAUCAGGUGCUGUAGGCA